rnacentral:rRNA from 1 species
GUGAGGAAUAUUGGUCAAUGGACGAGAGUCUGAACCAGCCAAGUAGCGUGCAGGAUGACGGCCCUAUGGGUUGUAAACUGCUUUUAUACAGGGAUAAAGUGGGGAACGUGUUCCCUUUUGUAGGUACUGUAUGAAUAAGGACCGGCUAAUUCCGUGCCAGCAGCCGCGGUAAUACGGAAGGUCCGGGCGUUAUCCGGAUUUAUUGGGUUUAAAGGGAGCGCAGGCCGAUGGUUAAGCGUGACGUGAAAUGUAGCCGCUCAACGGCUGAACUGCGUCGCGAACUGGCUAUCUUGAGUGAGUUCGAUGUUGGCGGAAUUCGUGGUGUAGCGGUGAAAUGCUUAGAUAUCACGAAGAACUCCGAUUGCGAAGGCAGCCAACAAGGCCUUUACUGACGCUAAAGCUCGAAGGUGCGGGUAUCGAACAGG